rnacentral:rRNA from 1 species
UACGUGGGGGGCAAGCGUUGUUCGGAAUUACUGGGCGUAAAGGGUGCGUAGGCGGCUUUCUAAGUUGGAUGUGAAAACUAUGGGCUCAACCCAUAGCCUGCAUCCAAAACUGGAGAGCUUGGGUUCUGGAGGGGAAAGCGGAAUUCCUGGUGUAGCGGUGAAAUGCGUAGAUAUCAGGAGGAACACCGGUGGCGAAGGCGGGACUCUGGGCCGAUACUGACGCUGAGGAGCGAAAGCGUGGGGAGCGAACAGG